rnacentral:rRNA from 1 species
UACAGGGGGGGCAAGCGUUGUUCGGAAUUACUGGGCGUAAAGGGCUCGUAGGCGGCCAACUAAGUCACACGUGAAAUCCCCAGGCUUAACCUGGGAACUGCGUGUGAUACUGGAUGGCUUGAAUUCGGGAGAGGGAUGCAGAAUUCCAGGUGUAGCGGUGAAAUGCGUAGAUAUCUGGAGGAAUACCGGUGGCGAAGGCGGCAUCCUGGACCAACACUGACGCUGAGGAGCGAAAGCCAGGGGAGCAAACGGG